rnacentral:lncRNA from 1 species
UAGGGUUUGAGACCGCCAAAUCUUUUGCCCUCCAUGGAGCACACGUGAUCCUGGCCUGUAGGAAUAUGACGAGAGCCAACGAAGCUGUGUCGCGCAUUUUAGGAGAAUGGGUGUUCCAUCCCACAACCCCAGCGCAUCCCGCCAGCCCCCGAACUGUCUCCUUUGGAAACCAUGAAUUUUUCAAAGUCUGUGAGUCAGUAUCUGUUCUGCAAAGAAGUUAAUUGUGUCCUUUUUUCAGAUUCCACAUGUCAGUGAAAGCAUUUGAUGUUGGCGUCUCAUUGUCUGACUUACUUCCCUUAGCAUGAUAAUUUCUAGGUCCAUCCAUGUUGCUAAAAAUGCCAGUAUUUCAUUCCUUUUAAUGGCUGAGUAAUAUUCCAUUGUGUAUACGUACCACAUCUUCUUGAUCCACUCCUCUCUUGAUGGACAUUUAGGUUGUUUCCAUGUCUUGGCCAUUGUAAAUAGUGCUGCAGUGAACAUUGGAGUACGUGUCUUUGCGAGCCAUGGUUUUCUCUGGGUAGAUGCCCAGGAGUGGGAUUGCUGGAUCAAAUGGUAGUUCUGUUUUUAGAUUUGUGAGGCCUCUCCGUACUGUUUUCCACAGUGGUUGCGCCAACUUACAAUCCCACCAGCAGUGUACUAGGGUUCCUUUUCCUCCACACCCUCUCUAGCACUUAUUGUUUGUAGACUUUUUGAUGAUGACCAUUCUGGCUGGUGUAAGGUGGUUAUUUUAUUUUAUUUUUUAAUUUCACUGAAAUUUAUUUCAGACUUCUGGGUUCCUGAACUAGAAGAAAAUAAAUGUUUUUUUUUUUUUUUUUUUUUUUUUAAUUUCCCCAAUACAUUAUUAUUGGAAUUUUUUCUACUGUACGGCAUGGUGACCCAGUUACACAUACAUGGAGGUACCUCAGAAAGCUACACAUAGAACUACCAUAUGACCCGGCAGUCCCACUCUUAGGUGUAUAUCCGGACAAAACUUUCCUUAAAAAAGACAUGCACCCAUCAUUGCUUUUAAAGCGCCCUCCAAAGUGAGAAAACCAGAAGAUUCAUUAAUUUAGCUGUUUGCUUGUAAAUAGGGAUCUGCCUCGCAUUUGGAAAAUUGGAAAAGCUCUCCUUUGAACUCAUUUCGUUCCACCUGCCUGUGUUGUUUGGUGUUUCCCAGACAAAUUGGACGUACCUGCCGCAGAUGCCGGUUUUGUAGUAAUAAUACUUUUCUGCAUUAGAAAAAAAACCCUGAAAUGAAAAUGUACCUUGGUCUGAUUAUUGUAAUCUCCCCUUGCCUUUUUUGCAUGGAUCAUUUGUUUGUGAACUGGUUAUUGCAGGAAGGGCUCAAAGGUAAUUUCAUGGUUUAUAGCAUUUAUAUUGGCGCCUUUAAUGAGCAAAACAUAUUGUUUUCUAAUACACAAAACGAGGAAUUCACAUAUAUAUAUUCCAUUUCCUAAUAAUACACGUAUAUCAAGUUUAAGACAUGGAGAACAACCAUGUAAAGAAAUUAUACUUCUGUACACAGGGGAAAUAUGCAAGUUUUGUGAUGCAAAAAAAUAAUAAAAAAAUAAAAAUCAACAUAUGCAGGCUUCUGAGAUGAUUUUAUUUCUAAUGCAUCCAGAUGAUAGCAGGGAGCUGCUGUUGCAUUUGGGUCUCGUACAGCAAUUCAUAUCUAAAAAUAUGGUAACAUAUGGCUUUGUUAUUAUUUAGUUUAGGAAUUUAUGCACCUAAAGGAGUUUGGAGAGCUCUGGGUCUCAUUCAGAUGUUGUGCACGGCAACUGAACGAGACAGGCUGGAGCACGGAGUCCCUCCACUCCGGGUUAUCAAGAUCUGACCGCUUCACUUUUUUUGUGGGUGGUGGUGUCGUUUAAACUCAAGAACUUUUUUGCGUAUUUGCUAAUGGUUCCCUUCCCUCUUUCUUAGGACUGUGUUUGCGAAGGCCAAAUUGGUGAAAUCUUUUGGGUCUAAUAAAAAUAUGGCCGGGGCUGGAAAAGGGACCAGCUGCUUUUUCUAGACCUCGAGCGAGGUGGCUUCCCGGCCUCCCGGUUCAUUUGAUGUCCCGGGCAGUCCUUGACACCCACCCAGCCCCGUCACAAGACUUUUCCCUCCCGUCCAGAUUGUGUUUGUUUUACGGCUCUCGCACGGAGCCUGCAGCUGUGUAAACCCGGGGCUGGUUUCUGCGCGCCUUUGAUCUUUGCAAGGAUCAACAGUUGCCCUCGGUCCCUGAACCCUGUUCCACGGCCCCGUCCUUCUUGGAUUUUUCCACUCUCUGGUCCUUAUGGCAUUGCAUGGGGAGCCUUCCAAGAGCAUCGCCCAUGACUUUGGGGGAGGAGUGGGGAAGAGGCACCUCCAGUCUGUCAUUUCUAAGACCUGAUUAAGAAGCGAUUUCCAUCUGAUGCCCAAAAGAUACACCAUUUAGUUUCCUCCUGAGAGGAAACCUGACAAUGUCAAAUAGACUGUGAGAGGGUCUGAGGAACCUGAACAUAUUAUGGAUUAAAUACAUGUUUAUGGAGCAAGUGCAUUGUAGGGUUUUCUUUGUAGUUUUUUUUUUUUUUUUUUUUUUUUUUUUUUUUUUUUUUUAAACGCCUGAAAAAUUCAGUCCUUCUCUAAACCAGAGCCUCAUACCGCUGUUGGCAAUAGGCUCUUGGCUGAUGGAGUGUGGUGUUAUUUUUCAUUUAGUAAACUGGGUGCCUAUGCAUAAGGCAUACGAAAGCCAUGUCUCCUGUGCUUACUUCCUAGACUUGGUUUUAAAAGCUUCACGAAAGAUACAAGGAAGCUAUGUAUGGGUUCUGGAGAAAGAGCCCUCAUUUCCAUAUGGGGCAAUCACGAAUGGCUUACAGAGCUGUACCAUAAUACCCGGGGAAGGAUGCUGAGCCAAGAGAUGAGAAGGGGUCUUCCCAGGCCAAAAGAAGAGCACCCAAGGCCAAGCCGACUCCUGAUUCAGAUCCACUUGAGCUUAAAUCCUGGCUCCAUCCCUUACUGUUUCUGUGACCUGGGGACUUUGUUCAGGUUUCUCACCCAUAACAGGGGAUUAAUAAUAGUCUCUUCCUUUGAGAUGAGAAUUAGACAGAGACCAUGCCUGUGAAUUGUUGAGCACUGUCCCUGGGACGUAGUCUGCAGGCAGUAGCGGUUAGCAUCUCUUCCUGCUGCACUGCAGCUCUUCGUUUUUUUCCCCUAUCCUUCCUGCUCCUCGACUUUUUGAUAAAGUUUUACACCAGAAAAGAUGAGCUGUGUCACCGCCAGCCUUCUCAUAUGACAGGAGCCUGGGAGAUGUGUGGGGGAGUAUUCCUAGAUUUGGUUAAAUAAGUGAGUCUUCGCGAUCUGGGAGUGGGUGGAGCCACAUCCUUGUCAGUGGCCCCAGAUCGCAGAAGAAGAAUCUCUGAAAAAAGGCGCUCACGCGGAGGAUUCUGAACCCGGGAUGAAGCUCACUUGGUGACACAGAGUGACACGGUUGAUUGACAGAGCCAGCUGCCUCCUUGUUCUGUAAUUCCAGGAGGGGUACCUUCUCGCCCUUGGAGUCUUAGGUAGGCACACGACCUUGAUGGCGUGAAGGCAGUGAACACAGAUUGCCUCCUCCUGUUAAUAGAUACAACCAAGAAGAAAGAACGCUUGGCCUGGACGCGUAAAGCGACACCUACAGUUUAUAGUGUUACUCUAGUAUUUUCAACAUCUCCUGAGCUGUGGGUGGAAAUCCCAUUUCUCUCUUUCCCUCCUUCCUUCCUUCCUUCCUUCCUGCCUUCCUCUCUCUCUCCCCCUUCCUUUCUUCCUUCCUUUCUUCCUUCCUUCCUUUCUCUCUUCCUUUCUCUCUUUCUUUCAUCUUUUUAGGGUCACACUGCAGCAUACGGAGCUUCCCAGGCUAGGGGUCCAAUCAGAGGUACAGCUGCCGGCCUACGCCACAGCAAUGUGGCAUCUGAGCUGCAUCCGGGACCUACACCACAGCUCACAGCAGCGCCGGAUCCUUAACCCACCGAACGAGGCCAGGGAUCGAACAGGCAUCCUCGUGGAUGCUAGUCAGAUUCGCUUCCGCUGAGCCAUGAUGGGAACUCCAGAAAUCCCAUUUCUUAUCAAGCUGACCCGCAGUGUUACAUCUAGGAACGUGGGCUAAGAUGCAGGUCAGCUUGUCUCCACUGCUGCCUGGCGAGAUUUGGCGGGAGCCGUCUUACAGAGUCCAGGAGAGAAGUAAAAGUCCUGGCCGUGGUAUUGCUUCCUCUGUAGGGGCUGCCUAUGAGGGAAGCUGCAAAAUUCAGAUGGUCCCAUCACUUCAAAGGGACGGUGGUUAAGACAGAAGGAACUGAGUAGAAGUUAGGGGAGAGCUUAAUUUUUUCCAGUAGCCAUCAUGAAGUCUCUGUUUGCUUUUUGGAAAAUGUGAUUUAAUCUUUGAGAAAGCAGUGUACCUUUAGGAGUAAUUUUCUGGGUAGGCUUCCCAGCUUUCCUUCUUCGGACAUCCCCAAACAGUUCUUCGUGCAGUGCCAUGCCUCCCAGCUUAACUUUUUCAGGAAAUGAUUCAUGACUUUAUAAUUUCAAUUCACUAACCCUUUUCAGCCGUGCAAUAAAUUUAAAUCCUUUACUAUCAAGAUAACAUUUUUUCUCCUGUCACUGUGAUAAAAUGAUUGGAAACCACUUUUAGAAGUUGACCCUUUGGGGGACAGCUCUUAAGGGGUUGUCCUUUACACCAGCACAUCCCUUGUAGGUGCCAGUGUUUCCAUGGCAGGGGCCCCCGAGCUGCAGAGCAAGUGCCCAGGGUAACGCCCUUUACAGCAGGAUGAUAAAGAGUUCACUGGGACAUGGGCAAGGGGAGUCUGUGUAUUCGAAGCGUGUGGUUCUGAGAAAACCACAUCCUUUCCCAGAAUAAAGGAUGGAUGAGAAAGGCGUUGCUAAGGCAUGUUUCACCCCCUGAAAAUCGGCCAUGAGUCAGGCAAGGGCAGUCAGCUCAGUGGUCCAGGGCCUCGUAGAGAGGAAUCCUGGGGUGACUGACGUGCCCCGUGACUGCGGGGCAGUCACUGAGCCUUUUGGAGCCUCAGUUCCCUCCUCAUGUUUUAAAAAGGGUGUUUUCAUUUGUGCGUUUGUUUGUUUUUCCUACUGUACAGCGUGGUGACACAGACAUGUAUACAUUCUUCUCCCAUUAUCAGGCUCCGUCAUAAAUGAGUAGACAUGGUUCCCAGUGCUACACGGCAGCAUCUCAUUGCUAAUCCACUCCAAAGGCAAUAGUCUGCAUCUGUUAACCCCAAGCUCCCAUCCUUCCCACUCCCUCCCCCUCCCCCUCGGCAACCACAAGUCUGUUCUCCAAGUCCAUGAUUUUUUUUUCUGUGGAAAAGUUCCUUUGUGCCGUAUAUUAAAUAGCAUAUUGGGGAAAUAAAAAAAAAACCCACAGAAAUCAAAUAUAACAAAAAAAAUUCUACUUUCAUUAUUAUCAAAAAAUAAAUAAAAAGGGUGUUUUGCAAAAGGUCAAUUAAAACACUGUGAAGUUCUGAAAAUAACAGGUUUCUUUUUGUUACAAAAAAUAUUGAACAUACAGAAAAUUCAAAGACUACUUUAACAGUACAGGAAAUAACCAUAUACCCACCAUCUGGGUUCAAAAAUUACUAAUUUAUUACCAUGUUUUAUUAGUUUGUCUGUCCAUCCACCCACCCAUCCAUUUGUCUGUCCGUCUGUCCAUUCAUCUGUCCAUCCAUCUGUACAUCUAAGCUGUGGAUACUGAUACCCUUCCCGUCUAUGACUUGGACAGGCCUCUCCUCCAACUAGACUGUGUUCUGCUUAAUCCCAUUUGUCAGUAGUAUCAUGUCUGUGAAAUUGACAGUAAGUCACUAACGCCAAAGAAUGCACAGUCUGUAGCCAGAGGUACCCUCUCGUCCUCAAACUGUCUUUCGCAGUUUUUGUUUUCAGUCAGUCUGCAACCAACCAAGGUUCACACAUAAUAUUUGGCAUGACGUCUUUUUAGUCUGUUUCAGUGGAGAGGGUAUUUAGGGGUAGGAGUAGGGGUCCUAGGAUGGUUCCUGGCUGGUUCCUGUGGAUACUGCCAACUUCCUUGGUCACUAACAAGGCUUUUAUUUUUCAGUACUUUUUGGUUAUCAAGGAAACUUUUUUUUUUUUUUUUUGUCUUUUUGCUAUUUCUUGGGCUGCUCCCGCGGCAUAUGGAGGUUCCCAGGCUAGGGGUUGAAUCGGAGCUGUAGCCACCGGCCUACGCCAGAGCCACAGCAACUCAGGAUCCGAGCCGCGUCUGCGACCUACACCACAGCUCACGGCAACGCCGGAUCGUUAACCCACUGAGCAAGGGCAGGGACUGAGCCCGCAACCUCAUGGUUCCUAGUUGGAUUCGUUAACCACUGCGCCACGACGGGAACUCCAAGGAAACUUUUUGUACAUUUUGUUUUACUUCUGUAAAUCUGGUUUCAACUUCCAGCCCAGCUCAGACCGACCGUGAGCAUUUCCUUUGGUGAAACUUGGAAAGAGGAAAAAAAAAAUCUGUUAAUCAGGGUUCUUGAAGUGCAGUGUUUAUCUCAGGGGGAAUAAGUCUCCCCCAAGGGCUCUUGCCACAGCCAGUAAGACCAGAAAAAAAAGAAAAAAAAAA